rnacentral:rRNA from 1 species
GACGAACGCUGGCGGCGUGCUUAACACAUGCAAGUCGAACGGAAAGGCCCUGCUUGUGUGGUGUUCUCGAGUGGCGAAGGGGUGAGUAACACGUGAGUAAUCUGCCCUUGACUUUGGUAUAACUUCAGGAAACUGUGUCUUAUACCGUAUAGGCGCUCCUGCUUCUUGUUGUUGGUUGGAAUUUUUCGUCGGGUGGGGAUGGACUCGCGGCUUAUCUGCUUGUUGGUGGGUUAUUGGCUUACAAAGGCUUUGACGGGUAGCCGGCCUGAGGGGGUGACCGGCAAAAUUGGGACUGGGAUACGGCCAAGAGUCCUAGGGGAGGAGGAAGGGGGAAAUAUUGAAAAAGGGGCGGAACCCUGAGGAAGGAAGGCGGAGUGGGGGAUGAGGGCCUUCGGGUGGAAACCCGUUUUCGCAUGGGACGAAGCGUUAGUGACGGUAAUGGGUAAAGAAGCACCGGCUAACUACGUG